UACGGAGGGCGCGAGCGUUAAUCGGAAUUACUGGGCGUAAAGCGUGCGUAGGCGGCCCGGUCAGUCUCGCGUGAAAGCCCCGGGCUCAACCUGGGAACUGCGCGGGAAACUGCCGGGCUGGAGUGCGGGAGAGGGGUGUGGAAUUUCCGGUGUAGCAGUGAAAUGCGUAGAGAUCGGAAGGAACACCAGUGGCGAAGGCGGCACCCUGGACCGACACUGACGCUGAGGCACGAAAGCGUGGGGAGCAAACAGG
rnacentral:rRNA from 1 species